ACUCAAAUGAAUUGACGGGGGCCCGCACAAGCGGUGGAGCAUGUGGUUCAAUUCGACGCAACGCGAAGAACCUUACCAGCUCUUGACAUGUCUCGUAUGGCUCUGGGCGACUGGAGCCUUCGGUUCGGCCGGCGAGAACACAGGUGCUGCAUGGCUGUCGUCAGCUCGUGUCGUGAGAUGUUGGGUUAAGUCCCGCAACGAGCGCAACCCUCAUCUUCAGUUGCCAUCGGGUUAUGCCGGGCACUCUGAAGAAACUGCCGGUGACAAGCCGGAGGAAGGCGGGGAUGACGUCAAGUCCUCAUGGCCUUUAUGGGCUGGGCCACACACGUGCUACAAUGGCGGUGACAGUGGGCUGAAGCGAAGGGGCGACCUGGAGCUAAUCCCCAAAAGCCGUCUCAGUUCGGAUUGCACUCUGCAACUCGAGUGCAUGAAGCCGGAAUCGCUAGUAAUCGCGGAUCAGCACGCCGCGGUGAAUACGUUCCCGGGCCUUGUACACACCGCCCGU
rnacentral:rRNA from 1 species